UGGUUGAUAUGCUCUUAUCAUCCUAAACCUUUGACAUUCAAAAUUUAUUCUUAAGUUAUUCCUAAGGGAUAAUGAAUAAAGUAGAAUAGCAGAGCCAAAUAUUAAAACUUAGUAAAAAACUUUCAGACUACCAAUAAAUACGUGACAGAAUGCAUAUACUUCAAAAUAGCGUUUCAUUAUGAGAAUAAAGAACUUAACAUGUUAUAUAGAGGGCGGUGGCAAUCUAUUACACAUUAGGAGGAAUUGGGUAUCGUGGAUAGUUUGUACCAAAGACCUGACUCCAACAAUGAGAAAAUCAAAAAAAAAAUCUCGUUGGCAACCUGUGGAUCGAACACGGGACGUCGUGUGCCAAAACAUACAUUUCUACACACUAGACACCUUUUAAUGACCUAUUGUAUAGAUUGCAAAAUAAAAAAUUGUUUUUUUUUAUAAAUAAAACUAAACUUUUCAAAAUAAAUAUUAAAAAAAAUUUUUAUUUUUAUUAUAGCGCUUU